rnacentral:rRNA from 1 species
CCUACGGGUGGCAGCAGUGAGGAAUAUUUGUCAAUGGACGAGAGUCUGAACCAGCCAAGUAGCGUGAAGGAUGACUGCCCUAUGGGUUGUAAACUUCUUUUAUAUGGGAAUAAAAUGUUCCACGUGUGGGAUUUUGUAUGUACCUUAUGAAUAAGGAUCGGCUAACUCCGUGCCAGCAGCCGCGGUAAUACGGAGGAUCCGAGCGUUAUCCGGAUUUAUUGGGUUUAAAGGGAGCGUAGGUGGAUUGUUAAGUCAGUUGUGAAAGUUUGCGGCUCAACCGUAAAAUUGCAGUUGAUACUGGCAGUCUUGAGUACAGUAGAGGUGGGCGGAAUUCGUGGUGUAGCGGUGAAAUGCUUAGAUAUCACGAAGAACUCCGAUUGCGAAGGCAGUUCACUGGACUGCAACUGACACUGAGGCUCGAAAGUGUGGGUAUCAAACAGGAUUAGAUACCCCAGUAGUC